CUUGAAGGUACUGCGGAGGAUCAUUACCAAGCUGAGGGGGUGACGAUCUUGGAGGCUGGUGUACACACCAGCCGCUGAGCGGGAGCCGUUGCAAGAUGAGACUCCUCGCCGCGGUGCCUCCCAAGACAAGCCCCCGAACCUUCCACCCUUGUCCACUUGUACCCUUUGUUGCCUCGGCGGGUGCGCCCGCCAGAGGACCACACCAAAAACUCUUGUUGUAAACGGCGUCUUGUCUGAGCUAUAGCGAAAGCAAUAGUUUAAAACUUUCAACAACGGAUCUCUUGGUUCUGGCAUCGAUGAAGAACGCAGCGAAAUGCGAUAAGUAGUGUGAAUUGCAGAAUUCAGUGAAUCAUCGAAUCUUUGAACGCACAUUGCGCCCCUUGGUAUCCCGAGGGGCAUGCCUGUUCGAGCGUCAUUAUCACCAAUCAAGCCUGGCUUGGUGUUGGGUGCCGUCCCGCCCUCUGCGGCGUGGACGCUCCCUAAAACUAUCGGCGGUGCAGCACCGGCUUCGAGCGUAGCAGACCUUCGCUUUCUGGGGCCCGGUGCGGCAGCGGCCGCGACGCAGCAACCUCAAGGUUGACCUCGGAUCAGGUAGGGAUACCCGCUGAACUUAAGCAUAUCAAA
rnacentral:rRNA from 1 species